GAUGAACGCUGGCGGCGUGCUUAACACAUGCAAGUCGAACGAUGAAGCUCAGCUUGCUGGGUGGAUUAGUGGCGAACGGGUGAGUAACACGUGAGUAACCUGCCCUUAACUCUGGGAUAAGCCUGGGAAACUAGGUCUAAUACCGGAUAGGAGCGCCUACCGCAUGGUGGGUGUUGGAAAGAUUUAUCGGUUUUGGAUGGACUCGCGGCCUAUCAGCUUGUUGGUGAGGUAAUGGCUCACCAAGGCGACGACGGGUAGCCGGCCUGAGAGGGUGACCGGCCACACUGGGACUGAGACACGGCCCAGACUCCUACGGGAGGCAGCAGUGGGGAAUAUUGCACAAUGGGCGAAAGCCUGAUGCAGCGACGCCGCGUGAGGGAUGACGGCCCUCGGGUUGUAAACCUCUUUCAGUAGGGAAGAAGCGAAAGUGACGGUACCUGCAGAAGAAGCACCGGCUAACUACGUG
rnacentral:rRNA from 1 species